rnacentral:rRNA from 1 species
GAACGGCAGCAUGGGAGCUUGCUCCUGGUGGCGAGUGGCGAACGGGUGAGUAAUAUAUCGGAACGUACCUUUUAAUGGGGGAUAACUAGUCGAAGGAUUAGCUAAUACCGCAUACGCCCUGAGGGGGAAAGCGGGGGAUCGUAAGACCUCGCGUUAUUAGAGCGGCCGAUAUCUGAUUAGCUAGUUGGUGAGGUAAAGGCUCACCAAGGCGACGAUCAGUAGCUGGUCUGAGAGGACGACCAGCCACACUGGAACUGAGACACGGUCCAGACUCCUACGGGAGGCAGCAGUGGGGAAUUUUGGACAAUGGGCGCAAGCCUGAUCCAGCCAUUCCGCGUGAGUGAAGAAGGCCUUCGGGUUGUAAAGCUCUUUCGCAAGGGAAGAAACGAUCUGGACGAAUAAUCCAGGUUAAUGACGGUACCUUGAUAAGGAGCACCGGCUAACUACGUGCCAGCAGCCGCGGUAAUACGUAGGGUGCGAGCGUUAAUCGGAAUUACUGGGCGUAAAGCGUGCGCAGGCGGUUUUGUAAGUCAGAUGUGAAAUCCCCGGGCUCAACCUGGGAACUGCGUUUGAAACUACAAGGCUAGAGUAUGUCAGAGGGGGGUAGAAUUCCACGUGUAGCAGUGAAAUGCGUAGAGAUGUGGAGGAAUACCAAUGGCGAAGGCAGCCCCCUGGGAUAAUACUGACGCUCAUGCACGAA